UGACCGGCAACUGACCGGCAGGGCGCUCCAGCAAGUCCAUGUUUAAAGGUUUACCAAUGUGUAUAGUGUUUUAUAGUUCCAUGGGAGGUGGGGGGGGGGUCACUUGAAUUGUUUUUCAGAAACCAACUGUGUGUAUUCAUGUAUAUGUAUAUAUGUGUCUGACCUGAUUUGUUAUGACAGUGUGAAAUUACCAGCAUAGUCUGGCACAAUUUCUUCUGCAGAAGGCAGCGACGUCUGUGCUUUAAAUGUUUCACGAGAGAGAGCGAGCGAGCGAUAGAGAUCUAUAUCUAGAGAGAGAGAGAGAGAGACCAUAUCUGGGACAUUAAAACAGCUUCAGGGAGCAGGUACUGCAUAUUCGUUUUCUAGAGCAUAUCAGCUGACAUGUUUUUUUUUUGUUUGAUACUUUUCUUUAACAUCACUAUAAAAAGAUACAAAUAGAACAGCAGCCCGAGGAACGGCGCCACACCAAGAGAAGAUCAGUUUUCAGUCUGUUUUUAAAUGAUGCUGAAUUCAAAUCCAUGCAUCCAAGAUGUAUGAAAGUGGGACAUUAAGAAUGUAGAGUUAACGUUUAUUUUAAGUUGCCUGGGUCACUCGGGGACACCCGCAUUGUUCUCCUCAGGUUCCUCUUACCUCGAAGUGAAAUAAAUUGCAUCAGAUGUAAUUCCAGUAACUAUGUAAAAAAAAAAAGUAUGUCAUAAACGGUUAUUAUACAAUAUGUUGUAUGUAUAGUACGCUGAAUAAACUAGUUGGGAAAAACUAAUGGAAAUACAUGUUGGAAAAAAGAAGUCAUGGUAUAUGUGGAGAUAAAAAGUUGCAUCUCGUAUUUGGGUUUGUGUGAGGUAGUAAUGGACUGCAGGAAGGCUUUCAUUGACCGCUCAGCGCCUAAACACACAGCCGGCCCGCGCUGUGGCCCGAGGGGAGGUCAGUCCCAGUGAUUCACACCGUUACGGUCUGUGGCCAAACAUCGAUCCGCUUUAAAGCCAAUUUAACCCUGCACGUUCACACAAAGCAGACAGG
ensembl:lncRNA